CUUAUUUGUGGCUACUGUACCCACAACAUUCUUUCUUCUUCACUGCUUUUAAUUUGUUUCCAUCUCCAAGGUCUAUCAAGCAUCCAGUCAAGCUAGCUUUGUAUGAUAGUCAACGAAGUCAACUUCACUGCUUCAUUUUCUGUUCUAAUCUCUCAACACUUUUCAGCCACUAAGUCAGGUAAUAAGGCAAUGAUUUCCUCUACUGAUUAUCAACAGUUUUAGAUUUUAAGACAGAAUAGCAGACAUAAUCUAUCAUAGAUAGAAAUUAAUACAAAAAGAGCUACCCAGAAGCAAUAUAAUGUUGAAAUCUCAGACUGUUGAACAUUUUACCUCUUAAUAUUCUGUAAUGAACUCUUGCGCACUUGAAUCUAGCAUUUUAUAUACAUUGAGAGCUUGAUUCUGGUGACAAGAA